AGUGAACGCUGGCGGCAGGCCUAACACAUGCAAGUCGAACGGCAGCACGGCAGUAGCAAUACUGUGGGUGGCGAGUGGCGGACGGGUGAGGAAUACAUCGGGAUCUACCCUGUUGUGGGGGAUAACGUAGGGAAACUUACGCUAAUACCGCAUAAGAACUGAGGUUGAAAGCGGCGGACCGCAAGGCGUCGCGCGAUUGGAUGAACCGAUGUCCGAUUAGCUAGUUGGCGGGUAAAGGCCACCAAGCGACGAUCGGUAGCUGGUCUGAGAGGACGACCAGCCACACUGGAACUGAGACACGGUCCAGACUCCUACGGAGGCAGCAUGGGGAAUUUUGGGACAAUGGGCGCAAGCCUGAUCCAGCCAUGCCGCGUGAGUGAAGAAGGCCU
rnacentral:rRNA from 1 species